UUAAUACUCUAGGAUAGUGGACGUUACUCGCAGAAUAAGCACCGGCUAACUCUGUGCCAGCAGCCGCGGUAAUACAGAGGGUGCGAGCGUUAAUCGGAUUUACUGGGCGUAAAGCGUGCGUAGGCGGCUUCUUAAGUCGGAUGUGAAAUCCCUGAGCUUAACUUAGGAAUUGCAUUCGAUACUGGGAAGCUAGAGUAUGGGAGAGGAUGGUAGAAUUCCAGGUGUAGCGGUGAAAUGCGUAGAGAUCUGGAGGAAUACCGAUGGCGAAGGCAGCCAUCUGGCCUAAUACUGACGCUGAGGUACGAAAGCAUGGGGAGCAAACAGGAUUAGAUACCCUGGUAGUCCAUGCCGUAAACGAUGUCUACUAGCCGUUGGGGCCUUUGAGGCUUUAGUGGCGC
rnacentral:rRNA from 1 species